AUGCAUGUCUAAGUAUAAGCAAUUAUACCGUGAAACUGCGAAUGGCUCAUUAAAUCAGUUAUCGUUUAUUUGAUAGUACCUUACUACUUGGAUAACCGUGGUAAUUCUAGAGCUAAUACAUGCUAAAAACCCCAACUUCGGGAGGGGUGUAUUUAUUAGAUAAAAAACCAACGCCCUUCGGGGCUUCUUGGUGAUUCAUAAUAACUUUACGGAUCGCAUGGCCUUGCGCCGGCGACGGUUCAUUCAAAUUUCUGCCCUAUCAACUUUCGAUGGUAAGGUAUUGGCUUACCAUGGUUUCAACGGGUAACGGGGAAUUAGGGUUCGAUUCCGGAGAGGGAGCCUGAGAAACGGCUACCACAUCCAAGGAAGGCAGCAGGCGCGCAAAUUACCCAAUCCCGACACGGGGAGGUAGUGACAAUAA
rnacentral:rRNA from 1 species